rnacentral:lncRNA from 1 species
UUUUCUUUAAACAUAUGUAUGCGUAUUAAUAAAAAAAAAAAAAAACAGAAGCCGAUACGAUAUAGUAGUGGACCGUGUUAUAUACCGCCUAGCGUGGGGGUAGAGGUAGGAGUGGAGGAAGAAGAGGUACUUUUUGUUUUGUUUUCAUUAUAUAUAUAUAUAUAUAUCUUUCUUCCCCCACCUUCUAUUCUUUCUCUGUUCUGUCUCAAGGCAGUCGCAGUUACAAAGACGCGACGCGACAUUAAAGCGCAUUCGAGUUGCUAGCCGCCUUUCCAAAAUGGGGGGGUGUAUGUAUGGCAGGGACAACAGACAGAGAGAGUCAGGCACAGGGGAGCACAUAUGUAAAUACAUACAUAUACCAGAAGUCUCUCCCCACCAAUGAGAACAGAAGGAUUUAAAAGAAAAAGAAAAGAAAAGAAAAGAAAAGAAAAGAAAGAAAGAAG